CCUACGGGCAGCAGCAGUGGGGAAUAUUGGACAAUGGGCGAAAGCCUGAUCCAGCCAUGCCGCGUGUGUGAAGAAGGCCUUCGGGUUGUAAAGCACUUUCAGUGGGGAAGAAAGCCUUGGGGCUAAUACCCUCGAGGAAGGACAUCACCCACAGAAGAAGCACCGGCUAACUCCGUGCCAGCAGCCGCGGUAAUACGGAGGGUGCGAGCGUUAAUCGGAAUUACUGGGCGUAAAGCGCGCGUAGGCGGUCUGAUAAGCCGGUUGUGAAAGCCCCGGGCUCAACCUGGGAACGGCAUCCGGAACUGUCAGGCUAGAGUGCAGGAGAGGAAGGUAGAAUUCCCGGUGUAGCGGUGAAAUGCGUAGAGAUCGGGAGGAAUACCAGUGGCGAAGGCGGCCUUCUGGACUGACACUGACGCUGAGGUGCGAAAGCGUGGGUAGCAAACAGGAUUAGAUACCCUGGUAGUC
rnacentral:rRNA from 1 species